GACGAACGCUGGCGGCGUGCUUAACACAUGCAAGUCGAACGGAAAGGCCUCUUUCGGGGGGUACUCGAGUGGCGAACGGGUGAGUAACACGUGAGUAACCUGCCCUUGACUUUGGGAUAACUUCAGGAAACUGGGGCUAAUACCGGAUAGGAGCUCCUGCUGCAUGGUGGGGGUUGGAAAGUUUCGGCGGUUGGGGAUGGACUCGCGGCUUAUCAGCUUGUUGGUGGGGUAGUGGCUUACCCAGGCUUUGACGGGUAGCCGGCCUGAGAGGGUGACCGGCCACAUUGGGACUGAGAUACGGCCCAGACUCCUACGGGAGGCAGCAGUGGGGAAUAUUGCACAAUGGGUGGAAGCCUGAUGCAGCAACGCCGUGUGCGGGAUGACGGCCUUCGGGUUGUAAACCGCUUUCGCUCAUGACGAAGCUUUGUGUGACGGUAGUGGGUAAAGAAGCACCGGCUAACUACGUG
rnacentral:rRNA from 1 species